rnacentral:rRNA from 1 species
AUUGAACGCUGGCGGCAGGCCUAACACAUGCAAGUCGAACGAGCGGCGGACGGGUGAGUAAUGUCUGGGGAUCUGCCAGAUGGAGGGGGAUAACUACUGGAAACGUUGGCUAAUACCGCAUACUAUCGGAUGAACCCAUAUGGGAUUAGCUAGUCGGUGGGGUAACGGCUUACCAAGGCGACGAUCUCUAGCUGGUCUGAGAGGAUGACCAGCCACACUGGAAAGUAGACACGGCCCAGACGCCUACGGGAGGCAGAAGUGGGGAAUAUUGCACAAUGGGAGCAAGCCUGAUGCAGCCAUGCCGCGUGUAUGAAGAAGGCCUUAGGGUUGUAAAGUACUUUCAGCGGGGAGGCGUUACCCGCAGAAGAAGCACCGGCUAACUCCGUGCCAGCAGCCGCAGUAAUAC